rnacentral:rRNA from 1 species
GUGAGGAAUUUUUCGCAAUGGGCGAAAGCCUGACGGAGCAAUGCCGCGUGAAGGAUGAAGGCCUAUGGGUUCUAAACUUCUUUUCUCAGAAAAGAAUUAUGAAGGUAUCUGAGGAAUAAGCAUCGGCUAACUCUGUGCCAGCAGCCGCGGUAAGACAGAGGAUGCAAGCGUUAUCCGGAAUGAUUGGGCGUAAAGCGUCUGUAGGUUGUUUAAAAAGUAUUCUGUCAAAGGUUAGGGCUUAACCCUAGAUAGGCAGAAUAAACUUUUAAGCUAGAGUUUGGUAGAGGCAGAGGGAAUUCCCGGUGGAGCGGUGAAAUGCGUAGAUAUCGGGAGGAACACCAAAGGCGAAGGCACUCUGCUGGGCCAAUACUAACACUGAGAGACGAAAGCGAGGGGAGCAAAUGGGAUUAGAUACCCGGGUAGUCC